rnacentral:tRNA from 1 species
GAAGGAUUAGUUAAAAUAAAAUAACAUCAGAAUGUCAGACUGAAAUAAUCGGAAAGAUAUCCUUCU